rnacentral:rRNA from 1 species
CCCAGACUCCUACGGGAGGCAGCAGUAGGGAAUCUUCCACAAUGGGCGAAAGCCUGAUGGAGCAACGCCGCGUGAGUGAAGAAGGUUUUCGGAUCGUAAAACUCUGUUGUAAGGGAAGAACAAGUACAGUAGUAACUGGCUGUACCUUGACGGUACCUUAUGAGAAAGCCACGGCUAACUACGUGCCAGCAGCCGCGGUAAUACGUAGGUGGCAAGCGUUGUCCGGAAUUAUUGGGCGUAAAGCGCGCGCAGGCGGUCCUUUAAGUCUGAUGUGAAAGCCCACGGCUCAACCGUGGAGGGUCAUUGGAAACUGGGGGACUUGAGUGCAGAAGAGGAAAGUGGAAUUCCAAGUGUAGCGGUGAAAUGCGUAGAGAUUUGGAGGAACACCAGUGGCGAAGGCGACUUCUCUGGUCUGUAACUGACGCUGAGGCGCGAAAGCGUGGGGAGCAAACAGGUAUUAGAUACCCUGGUAGUCCACGCCGUAAACGAUGASUGYUAAGUGUUAGGGGGUUUCCGCCCCUUAGUGCUGCAGCUAACGCAUUAAGCACUCCGCCUGGGGAGUACGGUCGCAAGACUGAAACUCAAAGGAAUUGACGGGGGCCCGCACAAGCGGUGGAGCAUGUGGUUUAAUUCGAAGCAACGCGAAGAACCUUACCAGGUCUUGACAUCCCGUUGACCACUGUAGAGAUAUAGUUCCCCCUUCGGGGGCAACGGUGACAGGUGGUGCAUGGUUGUCGUCAGCUCGUGUCGUGAGAUGUUGGGUUAAGUCCCGCAACGAGCGCAACCCUUGAUCUUAGUUGCCAUCAUUUAGUUGGGCACUCUAAGGUGACUGCCGGUGACAAACCGGAGGAAGGUGGGGAUGACGUCAAAUCAUCAUGCCCCUUAUGACCUGGGCUACACACGUGCUACAAUGGACGAUACAAACGGU